rnacentral:rRNA from 1 species
UACAUGUGGGGCAAGCGUUGUUCGGAAUUACUGGGCAUAAAGGGUGCGUAGGCGGCUUGUUAAGUCAGGGGUGAAAGUUUUCGGCCCAACCGGAAAAUUGCCUUUGAUACUGGCGAGCUUGAGUGCGUGAGGGGUAACCGGAACGAGCAGUGUAGCGGUGAAAUGCGUAGAUAUCGAGAGGAACACCUGCGGCGAAGGCGGGUUGCUGGGCCGACACUGACGCUGAUGCGCGAAAGCCAGGGGAGCGAACGGG